GAAAUGCGAUAAGUAGUGUGAAUUGCAGAAUUCAGUGAAUCAUCGAAUCUUUGAACGCACAUUGCGCCCUUUGGUAUUCCUUAGGGCAUGCCUGUUCGAGCGUCAUCUAAACCUUCAAGCCCUGCUUGGUGUUGGGUGCCUGUCCCGCCUCCGCGCGCGGACUCACCUCAAAUCCAUUGGCGGCCCCCGCGUCGGCCACGAGCGCAGCAGAAACGCGAACUCGUGAGCCCGUCCGGGCGGCUCCCAGAAGCUACACCCACCCAGUUUGACCUCGGAUCAGGUAGGGAUACCCGCUGAACUCAAGC
rnacentral:misc_RNA from 1 species